AUUGAACGCUGGCGGCAGGCCUAACACAUGCAAGUCGAGCGGAUGAAGGGAGCUUGCUCCUGGAUUCAGCGGCGGACGGGUGAGUAAUGCCUAGGAAUCUGCCUGGUAGUGGGGGAUAACGUCCGGAAACGGGCGCUAAUACCGCAUACGUCCUGAGGGAGAAAGUGGGGGAUCUUCGGACCUCACGCUAUCAGAUGAGCCUAGGUCGGAUUAGCUAGUUGGUGGGGUAAAGGCCUACCAAGGCGACGAUCCGUAACUGGUCUGAGAGGAUGAUCAGUCACACUGGAACUGAGACACGGUCCAGGCUCCUACGGGAGGCAGCAGUGGGGAAUAUUGGACAAUGGGCGAAAGCCUGAUCCAGCCAUGCCGCGUGUGUGAAGAAGGUCUUCGGAUUGUAAAGCACUUUAAGUUGGGAGGAAGGGCAGUAAGUUAAUACCUUGCUGUUUUGACGGUACCAACAGAAUAAGCACCGGCUAACUUCGUG
rnacentral:rRNA from 1 species